GCGGGUGUCGCCAAGUGGUAAGGCACAAGCUUCCCAAGCUUGCAUCCGCCGGUUCGAAUCCGGUCACCCGCUCCA
rnacentral:tRNA from 1 species